GCAGAGGAGUCAGGCACCGUUCUAGGCAGACACAAACCACUCUGAGCAAAGGAGUAAUACGAAGUGAAAAGGAUCAGAUUAGUGAAUAAUUAAAUUGCCAGAGUGUAUACUCCAUGUUGCAAAUGAAGGGUCCCCCAAAGAUGAAAACUUUGACUAAGAGGAACUGCUGUUUUGCAAGCGUUACCUGAAAACCUGUAACCAAGGCCAGCUGGAACUAAAAAUCAACCACCAUCAAGCGUAUGAAACCGAUCUGAGGUCACUGUACUUAUAAUCGUGUACACAUAGCUUUGUGAAGAGCAAAGAACAAAAGCAAGUAAACAAAAAAGCCAAAGAUGGCGUCUGACGGCCUUGAAAAAGCCUCGCACUCUUGUCCCUCCCUGAGAAGGCCCCUCCCCUCCCUGUCUCGUUGAGUGACCGGUAAUGUUUGCCAAUAGCAACCCUGCUUAUGCUCACACACACGCCCAUCGCCCAACCACCAAUCAUUGAGAGCCAGAAGGCAAGCGGGGCGGUGCUUUUCUGCGUGCGCGCGCUGUGGCUGAGUACACGAGCCGGAGCAACUGACUCAGCCACCACCCGGGUCUUGUUGAGUCAGCGGGCGUGGGGCUUCGAGGCACCUGUGGUGGAACACCCGUGGGGCUGCUAGAGUGGGACCCCGCGGCGAGCGUCCGCCCCUGCCCAGGACCUCAGCUUUCCUAGCCACAUAAUUACCCACGUUGACCCAGCAAGAUCCCCUACCGCGCCUCGACCUCUGGGCUCUCCACCGCCCGCCGGGGACUGUCCCCUGGUCCGGCGCACAGUGGCGGGGCUCCCGGUCCCUGCGCCUGACGACUGCUCGGCGUCGCUGCGCUCUCUGCCUGUAGCCAAAUCACACUGCCUGUCGGGAAUGGUUCUGUUGUCCCUGGCGCCCACCUUGUCAUCUUUGACUAAUAUUUAAUCGACUAACAUUUACCGAGGACUUGCUGGGCGCGUGAUAGGGUUCUAGGAGCUAACUUUCCAUUUUUCAGUUUCUCCAGAAAAGCAGUAAGUGCUCUUUUAUGUCAGGCACAUUUAUAUGAAAAUCUGAAAGUGGAAAUUAUGGUCUUACCAAGUUGCACUUUAGCAAAUGUAAAUAAAAAAGGAUUGUGCUUAUGCUAAGUUAAAAACUCAUCCCCUGAUCUGCCAAUAAACAUGUAAUUUGGGGAUUACAUGGAAUCAUUGUUUAAAGCCCUUCUGCCCUCUGGGUCUGCAAUUCUGUUUUGUACACCUAACGAUGAGGGGUUUUUUUGUUGUUUUUUGCAAAUCAUUAGAUGGGUCAGUCUUUCAGAAUGUAAGGAAAUUGUAUUUUAUGGUACCUGAUUACCUGCUCAUGUGUGAUAGGAUCUCAUUUCUGAUAGAAAAAUAGGUUUUGAGAGGAUCUUCAAACAGGUGAGCCAUUUUGCACCUUGAUGUGGAGGAGCAGAGUUGACCAACCAGGAGGAGCUUUAAGUGGCCAUUUUUCCUUUUUUAUUUCUUAAAAUGAAGAUUAUGAUAUGAAUUGCCAGGCUUUCUGUAAUCACGUUUAAGAAAGUCCGUUUCUAGCCUGACCCUGAGCAAGCCAAAGGCCCAUUAUAAGAGCAUAUAUCAUUCUGAGGGAUACUGUAUCA
rnacentral:lncRNA from 1 species